rnacentral:lncRNA from 1 species
AGGAGGAAGCGAGUGAGCUCAGUGGAGGAGGGGCGCUACCCCAGGGGACGUCCCCAUGCAUGGGCUUGUGAACCUCGAAGACAUCAAUAUAUGUAAGAUGAACGUUGGUUCCCUCGGGAAAGGCGGGACAACUCGAAGCAGGGAGGGGGCUUCCAGGUCACCGGUAGGUGAGAGACAAACUGUUGUAUUCUUUUGGGUUUCUGAAUAGCCUCCGCAAAGGAGGCUAUCACAUAUUAACCUAUCUCAGUGAGCAGAGGGGUGACUUUGAAUA